rnacentral:rRNA from 1 species
ACGGGGUGCAGCAGGCGCGAAAACUCCACAAUGUACGGAAGUACGAUGGGGUUAUCUCGAGUGCAGUCCGAUAAGGGCUGCUUUUCCAUAGAGUAAUAUCCUGUGGGAAUAAGAGGGGGGCAAGACUGGUGCCAGCCGCCGCGGUAACACCAGCCCCUCGAGUGGUGGGGACUAUUAUUUGGCCUAAAGCGUCCGUAGCUGGCUGUAUCCGUCUCCCGGUAAAUCCGGCGUCCUAAGCGUCGGUUCUCGGGUGAUACCAUACAGCUAGAGGGUGGGAUAGGUGAGCGGUAUUUCUGGGGUAGGGGCGAAAUCCUUUGAUCCCAGGAGGACCACCAGUGGCGAAGGCUGCUCACUAGAACACGCCUGACGGUCAGGGACGAAAGCUGGGGCAGCGAACCGGAUUAGAUACCCGGGUAGUCCCAGCUGUAAACGAUGCUAGCUAGGUGCUGGGUCGGCCACGCGCCGCCCCAGUGCCGCAGGGAAGCCGUUAAGCUAGCCGCCUGGGGAGUACGGCCGCAAGGCUGAAACUUAAAGGAAUUGGCGGGGGAGCAC